rnacentral:rRNA from 1 species
AGCGAACGCUGGCGGUAGGCCUAACACAUGCAAGUCGAACGGUAGCGCAGUAAGAGCUUGCUCUUACGGGUUGCGAGUCGCGUAAGGAAGAGGUAUACAACGGAAUUUACUUUUUCGUGGGGGUUAACGUAGGGAAACUUACGCUCAUAUAGCAUACGACCUUCGGGUGAAUGUACGUAAUAUUUGGACCUUGCGCGCUUGAAUGUGCCGAUGUCGGAUUUGCUAGUUGGCGGGGUAUAGGCCCACCAAGGCGACGAUCCGUAGCUAGUCUGUGAGGAUGAUCGGCCACACUGGAACGAGGACACGGUCCAGACUCCUACGGGAGGCGGCAGAGGGAAAUAUUGGACAAGGAGCGCAAGCUUGAUCCAGACAUACCGGGUAGUUGAGGAAGGCUUUGGGGUUGUAAGGCCCUUUUGUUGGGAAAGAAAAGCAGCAGGUUAGUACCCCGCUGUUCUGACGGUACCCAAAGAGUAAGCACCGGCUAACUUCGUG